rnacentral:rRNA from 1 species
GACAGAGGGUGCAAACGUUGUUCGGAAUUACUGGGCGUAAAGGGCUCGUAGGUGGCCAACUAAGUCAGACGUGAAAUCCCUCGGCUUAACCGGGGAACUGCGUCUGAUACUGGAUGGCUUGAGUUUGGGAGAGGGAUGCGGAAUUCCAGGUGUAGCGGUGAAAUGCGUAGAUAUCUGGAGGAACACCGGUGGCGAAGGCGGCAUCCUGGACCAACACUGACACUGAGGAGCGAAAGCCAGGGGAGCAAACGGG